UUAAUAAAUCUUCUCUCUCUGUCUCCUCCCUCAAUUUAGCGAGUUAACGCGCCACCGCGGGAAUCUCUCUCUCUCUCUCUCUCUCAAUGAUUUCAGUUCAUUAAUUUCUAAAGGAUGGCUUAGAUUCAUGCAAUUUAGGAAUUAUGAAGCAAGGGACAGCGAAGAUUGCUUAUCAUGGCUA